rnacentral:rRNA from 1 species
AUUGAACGCUGGCGGCAGGCCUAACACAUGCAAGUCGAACGGAGGAACGGUGCUUGCUUCGGGUUUCGGCGGCGGACGGGGGAGGGGUGCCUAAGAAGCUGGUAAGCUGCGGGGGAUUACGUGAUGACACGGGGGCACUUACGCUAAUACUGCAUAGGGAGCACGUGGGGGAUCUUGGGAGCUUACGCUAUUGGGCGAUUCGAGGUCGGAUUAGCUAGUUGGUGGGGUAACGGCCUACCAAGGCGACGAUCCGUAGCUGGUCUGAGAGGAUGAUCAGUCACACUGGAACUGAGACACGGUCCAGACUCCUACGGGAGGCAGCAGUGGGGAAUAUUGGACAAUGGGCGAAAGCCUGAUCCAGCCAUGCCGCGUGUGUGAAGAAGGUCUUCGGAUUGUAAAGCACUUUUAGUUGGGAAGAAGAGCAGUAAGUUAAUACCUUGCUGUUUUGACGGUACCAACAGAAUAAGCACCGGCUAACUUCGUG